rnacentral:lncRNA from 1 species
UCAUUACAGUGGUGUCCAUAAGAAGGGUCUCCAUGGAUCCAGUUGUGGUCUUGUUGCUCAGUCUGUUCUUUCUGCUUUUCCUGUCUCUAUGGAGACUGAGCUCUGGGAGAGGGAAACUCCCUCCUGGCCCAACUCCUCUCCCAAUUAUUGGAAAUUUCUUUCAGGUUGAUAUGAAGGACAUUCGGCAAUCCUUAACCAAUUUUUCUAAAACCUAUGGACCUGUGUAUACUCUGUAUGUUGGCUCACAGCCUACUGUGGUAUUGCAUGGCUAUGAGGCAUUGAAAGAAGCUCUUGUUGAUCAUGGGGAAGAAUUCUCUGGAAGAGGAAGGUUACCAAUUUGUGAAAAGGUUGCUAAAGGACAGGGCAUUGCUUUUAGCCAUGGAAAUGUAUGGAAAGCCACAAGGCAUUUCACAGUCAAAACCCUGAGGAAUUUGGGCAUGGGAAAAGGGACCAUUGAAGACAAAGUGCAAGAGGAAGCAAAGUGGCUAGUGAAAGAACUGAAGAAAACCAAUGGCUCACCCUGUGAUCCCCAAUUCAUCAUGGGAUGUGCUCCUGGCAAUGUCAUCUGCUGCAUUAUCUUGCAGAAUCGUUUUGAUUAUGAAGAUAAGGAUUUUCUUAACUUGAUAGAAAAAGUGAAUGAGGCCGUUAAAAUUAUAAGCUCUCCUGGGAUUCAGGUUUUCAAUAUAUUUCCUAUACUUCUUGAUUAUUGUCCGGGAAAUCAUAACAUAUAUUUAAAAAAUUAUACAUGGGUUAAGAGUUACCUUUUGGAGAAAAUAAAAGAACAUGAAGAAUCGUUGGAUGUUUCAAAUCCUCGGGACUUCAUUGAUUAUUUUCUAAUUGAAAGAAAUCAGGUAAA